rnacentral:rRNA from 1 species
GAUCCCAUCAGAACUCCGAAGUUAAGCGUGCUUGGGCGGGAGUAGUACUGGGAUGGGUGACCUCCUGGGAAAUCCUCGUAUUGCACCC